rnacentral:rRNA from 1 species
UACGUAGGGUGCAAGCGUUAAUCGGAAUUACUGGGCGUAAAGCGUGCGCAGGCGGCUUUGCAAGACAGAUGUGAAAUCCCCGGGCUCAACCUGGGAACUGCAUUUGUGACUGCAAGGCUAGAGUACGGCAGAGGGGGAUGGAAUUCCGCGUGUAGCAGUGAAAUGCGUAGAUAUGCGGAGGAACACCAAUGGCGAGGGCAAUCCCCUGGGCCUGUACUGACGCUCAUGCACGAAAGCGUGGGGAGCAAACAGG